rnacentral:rRNA from 1 species
GACGAACGCUGGCGGCGUGCCUAAUACAUGCAAGUGGGACGCAAGGAAACACACUGUGCUUGCACACCGUGUUUUCUUGAGUCGCGAACGGGUGAGUAACGCGUAGGUAACCUGCCUAUUAGCGGGGGAUAACUAUUGGAAACGAUAGCUAAUACCGCAUAAUAUUAAUUAUUGCAAGAUAAUUGAUUGAAAGAUGCAAGCGCAUCACUAGUAGAUGGACCUGCGUUGUAUUAGCUAGUUGGUAAGGUAAGAGCUUACCAAGGCGACGAUACAUAGCCGACCUGAGAGGGUGAUCGGCCACACUGGGACUGAGACACGGCCCAGACUCCUACGGGAGGCAGCAGUAGGGAAUCUUCGGCAAUGGACGAAAGUCUGACCGAGCAACGCCGCGUGAGUGAAGAAGGUUUUCGGAUCGUAAAGCUCUGUUGUAAGUCAAGAACGUGUGUGAGAGUGGAAAGUUCACACAGUGACGGUAGCUUACCAGAAAGGGACGGCUAACUACGUG